ACUCCAUGGCCGGCCCUAUUAUGGGCACCACAGGACUUCGUACUCGGAGUUAUUGCCCGGCCCUAUUAUGGGCACCACAGGACUUCGUAUUCAGAAGACUAAUGAAUCAUCCUAAUGUCCAUCCACUAACAUCUAUCACAACAAUGCAAUGCGGCAUAUUCGUGAAUUCUAAUGCAAACAACCUAUGAUAUGAUCAUGAUGC
rnacentral:lncRNA from 1 species